UUUAGCCCCCGAUGGAAGCGGCAUCCUUUUUCUUUUGCAAAAAGAAAAAGAUACAGCGGACAGCGGG
rnacentral:sRNA from 1 species